GAUGAACGCUGGCGGUAUGCUUAACACAUGCAAGUCGAACGGUCACUUCGGUGAUAGUGGCGGACGGGUGAGUAACGCGUGAGAAUCUGUCUUCAGGUCGGGGACAACAGUUAGAAAUGACUGCUAAUACCGGAUGUGCCUUUGGGUGAAAGAUUUAUUGCCUGAAAAAGAGCUCGCGUCAGAUUAGCUAGUAGGUGGUGUAAGAGACUACCUAGGCUCCGAUCUGUAGCUGGUCUGAGAGGACGAUCAGCCACACUGGAACUGAGACACGGUCCAGACUCCUACGGGAGGCAGCAGUGGAGAAUUUACCGCAAUGGGCGAAAGCCUGACGGAGCAAUACCGCGUGAGGGACGAAGGCUUUUGGGUCGUAAACCUCUUUUCUCAAGGAAGAUGAUGACGGUACUUGAGGAAUAAGCAUCGGCUAACUCGGUG
rnacentral:rRNA from 1 species